CCAGGCUGAAUUGUGAUUUAGCAUUCUAUAGAACGUAGAACUUGCCAACAAUGAAGUUGGGUAUUUAGCUGAGGAUAUUUCUAAGCAAAGUGCUGAAGGUAUGGUGUGGUUUUCUCUUACCACUGAAAGAAAAUGAGAACAGAGAAAUAAAUUGAAGGAAUUUUUUUUUAAGCAAAAAAGAACCAGAACUUGAAGAUUUGGAAAAUUCUCUGCCUAUCCGUACUGCAAAAAAAAAAAAAAAAUGAGAAGAAAGUGUUCUGAAGAGAACACAAGGGUGUGGUUGAAACAUCAUUUGAUAAGGAGAUCAAUAUGGGUGUGAACCAUGAAUUUAAUCAGCCACCUUGGAAGAAGCCAGAAAGAGAUGGGAUUAUACCAGCAGAAAUACUGCCAGGACAAGGGAAAGAAAUGAAAGAUAAAUGAAGGAAGACUGUCAGACUUCUUGGAUUCCACAGAACUGGACAAAACUGCUGUUUGGCUGCAAAUACUCACUAUUCUUAAAGAAAAGGGAACAAGGACCCCAAAGGAAAGGCCAUGUAAGGCCAAAGCUACCAUCUGCAAGCCAAGAAGGAAAGCGUCACCAAAAACCAAACCCUGCUGGGAACUUGAUCUUCCCUUUCAGCCUCUGGAAUAAAGAAACUUAAUUUCUGUUGUUGAA